rnacentral:rRNA from 1 species
UGCCAGCAGCCGCGGUAACACGUACCGGACGAACGUUAUUCGGAAUCACUGGGCUUAAAGAGUGCGUAGGCGGCCUGGUAGGUGAGAUGUGAAAUCCCACGGCUCAACCGUGGAACUGCGUUUCAAACCACCAGGCUUGAGGGAGACAGGGGUGAGCGGAACUGAUGGUGGAGCGGUGAAAUGCGUUGAUAUCAUCAGGAACACCGGUGGCGAAGGCGGCUCACUGGGUCUCUUCUGACGCUGAGGCACGAAAGCUAGGGUAGCGAACGGGAUUAGAUA